AUUACCCAAUCCCAGAACGGGGAGGUAGUGACGAAAAAUAACAAUACGAGACUCUUAUGAGGCCUCGUAAUUGGAAUGAGAACAAUAUAAAUCACUUAGCGAGGAUCUAUUGGAGGGCAAGUCUGGUGCCAGCAGCCGCGGUAAUUCCAGCUCCAAUAGCGUAUAUUAAAGUUGUUGUGGUUAAAAAGCUCGUAGUUGGAUCUCAGUUCUUAGUCAGACGGUCCACUUGAUAGUGGUUACUGUUUGGCUGAACACUGUUUACCGAUUGAUUCAGUCCCAUGGUGCUCUUUACCGGGUGUCAUGGGCGAUCGGUACGUUUACUUUGAAAAAAUUAGAGUGCUCAAAGCAGGCGUCAAUGCCCGAAUAAUGUUGCAUGGAAUAAUGGAAUAGGACCUCGGUUCUAUUUUGUUGGUCUCCGGAGCGUGAGGUAAUGAUCAAUAGGGACAGACGGGGCUAUUCGUAU
rnacentral:rRNA from 1 species